CUAAGAACGAAAUUGCAAUAUAUGGACAGUUAUUUCCAUUGUCACAAUAUUGUCGGAUGACCUAAUACAUACUUCUUACAGAAAGAAAAAAACUGACUAGAAAUGAUAAAAGGCAACAGUCGGAGAGCCGAGAUGGAAGCCGUACACGACCAAGAACUCAUUGCAGAUUAGCCAAUUCCACUCUACCAAUUUUAUGGCUCUGGUAUUAGCAGUCAAACAUCUGAAUCAGUUGCUUUCUACAUCCUAUAACCAUAACCAUGUAUAACCAUCAUCAAACAACUUUGAUCUUAUAGACCAAAAAAUCUUUUACAUAAUAUAAUUUGGAAUAUAUACGACUAUACGCUCUUGCACGAG